rnacentral:rRNA from 1 species
GACGAACGCUGGCGGCGUGCUUAACACAUGCAAGUCGAACGGGUCUGCCCUGUUUUUUGCGGGGUGGGUCAGUGGCGAACGGGUGAGUAACACGUGAGUAACCUGCCCCUCACUUCUGGAUAACCGCUUGAAAGGGUGGCUAAUACGGGGUGUUCUGGCUGUGCCGCAUGGUGUGGCUGGGAAAGAUUCACUUUUGUGGUGUUUUGGUGGGGGAUGGGCUCGCGGCCUAUCAGCUUGUUGGUGGGGUGAUGGCCUGCCAAGGCUUUGACGGGUAGCCGGCCUGGGGGGGUGGGCGGUCACACUGGGACUGAGAUACGGCCCAGACUCCUGCGGGAGGCAGCAGUGGGGGGUAUUGCACAAUGGGCGGAAGACUGAUGCAGCGACGUCGCGGGAGGGAUGGAGGCCUUCGGGUUGUGAACCUCUUUCGCCGGUGAAGAAGGUCCUGCUCUUUGUGGUGGGGUUGACGGUAGCCGGGUUAUGAAGCGCCGGCUAACUACGUG